UGGGGAAUAUUGCACAAUGGGCGAAAGCCUGAUGCAGCGACGCCGCGUGAGGGAUGACGGCCUUCGGGUUGUAAACCUCUUUCAGCAGGGACGAAGCGCAAGUGACUGUACCUGCAGAAGAAGCACCGGCUAACUACGUGCCAGCAGCCGCGGUAAUACGUAGGGUGCGAGCGUUGUCCGGAAUUAUUGGGCGUAAAGAGCUUGUAGGUGGCUCGUUGCGUCGGGAGUGAAAACCCGCGGCUUAACCGCGGGCCUGCUUCCGAUACGGGCGAGCUAGAGUUCGGCAGGGGAGACUGGAAUUCCUGGUGUAGCGGUGGAAUGCGCAGAUAUCAGGAGGAACACCGGUGGCGAAGGCGGGUCUCUGGGCCGAUACUGACACUGAGAAGCGAAAGCGUGGGGAGCGAACA
rnacentral:rRNA from 1 species